rfam:Oryza sativa (indica cultivar-group) chromosome 12, whole genome shotgun sequence.
UUCAAUUGCAGUUGCGGAUUUCCGUGUCGAACAUUUGAUCAUUGGUCUUAUUUGAUAUUUUCUUAUAAUUAGUAUUUUUAUUGUUAUUAGAUGAUAUAAUAUGAAUAGUGUUAACUUAUUUUUAAAACUUUUUUCAUAAAUUUUUAAAUAAUAUAGACACGCAAACAUUGGAUAUGGAAACUCACAGCUGCGCUUUAA